rnacentral:rRNA from 1 species
AACGUAGGUACCGAGCGUUAUCCGGAUUUACUGGGCGUAAAGCGCGUUCAGGCGGUUUGGCAGGUCGGGCAUGAAAUCUCUCGGCUCAACCGGGAGAGGUUGUCCGAUACUGCUGGACUUGAGGGCAGUAGAGGGUGGUGGAAUUCCGGGUGUAGUGGUGAAAUGCGUAGAUAUCCGGAGGAACACCAGUGGCGAAAGCGGCCACCUGGACUGCACCUGACGCUGACACGCGAAAGCUAGGGGAGCGAACGGG